rnacentral:rRNA from 1 species
ACGGGUGAGUAACGCGUGGAACGUGCCUUUCACUACGGAAUAGCUUUUGGAAACGAAAGGUAAUACCGUAUACGCCCUCCGGGGGAAAGAUUUAUCGGUGAAAGAUCGGUCCGCGUUAGAUUAGCUAGUUGGUGAGGUAACGGCUCACCAAGGCUACGAUCUAUAGCUGGUCUGAGAGGAUGAUCAGCCACACUGGGACUGAGACACGGCCCAGACUCCUACGGGAGGCAGCAGUGGGGAAUAUUGCACAAUGGGCGCAAGCCUGAUGCAGCCAUGCCGCGUGAAUGAUGAAGGCCUUAGGGUUGUAAAAUUCUUUCGCCAAGGAUGAUAAUGACAGUACUUGGUAAAGAAGCCCCGGCUAACUUCGUGCCAGCAGCCGCGGUAAUACGAAGGGGGCUAGCGUUGUUCGGAAUUACUGGGCGUAAAGCGCACGUAGGCGGACUUUUAAGUCAGAUGUGAAAUCCCGAGGCUCAACCUCGGAACUGCAUUUGAAACUGGGAGUCUAGAGAUCAGGAGAGGUUAGCGGAAUACCGAGUGUAGAGGUGAAAUUCGUAGAUAUUCGGUGGAACACCAGUGGCGAAGGCGGCUAACUGGACUGAUACUGACGCUGAGGUGCGAAAGUGUGGGGAGCAAACAGGAUUAGAUACCCUGGUAGUCCACACCGUAAACGAUGAGUGCUAGUUGUCUGCAGGCAUGCCUGUAGGUGACGCAGCUAACGCAUUAAGCACUCCGCCUGGGGAGUACGGCCGCAAGGUUAAAACUCAAAGAAAUUGACGGGGGCCCGCACAAGCGGUGGAGCAUGUGGUUUAAUUCGAAGCAACGCGCAGAACCUUACCUACGCUUGACAUGCCUGGACGACUCCGAGAGAUCG